CUCUGGUGCUAGCUGGAGGUCAUCAAUCUCUCUGUCUUCUUCUGUAGGAGUAGUUUGGAGAAUGUGAAGCCCUUCACUGUUCAGUGGUGCUUCUAAGAGCUCUGCCCAGGAACGCCUGAAGAUAGACCUCUCUCUAAGAGGAUUCAUGCUUCUUGCUACUUCCAGAUCAUCACUUCCUGGGGACUCUGCAUUUUCUGGAGAUUCCAGCCACAGAUUUCUUGGGGUUCGUGGGCAACUGUAUUCUGAGGAUGGUGAACAUUUACUUAUUAAAGCCUCCAGGUGUAUAAGCCCAGUGAAUUUCAAAGUUGGAAUUUCUGUAUCAUCUAGCUCCUCCUUUCCAGGCACACCAGCAACAAGUAUUGCGGUGCCUUUCCCCCUUUCCUCUGGACUGGCAAUUCCUGUAACGUCUAAGCGUUGAGAUUCUGGGACCCCUGGAGAUUUAACUGGAAUUUUCUCUAGGCGAAGAAGCCCUGAAGUUUUUGGUCUUACAAGGGCAGUGCUCUCUACCUCUUUAGUUAGUGGGGGGGUGGUGACCAUCACCACUUGACUGAUAAUCCCCAGGUCCCUCUGAUGGAUACCUUCUCCUUC
rnacentral:lncRNA from 1 species